rnacentral:rRNA from 1 species
AUUGAACGCUGGCGGCAUGCUUUACACAUGCAAGUCGAACGGCAGCGCGGGCUUCGGCCUGGCGGCGAGUGGCGAACGGGUGAGUAAUGCAUCGGAACGUGCCCAGUAGUGGGGGAUAGCCCGGCGAAAGCCGGAUUAAUACCGCAUACGACCUGAGGGUGAAAGCGGGGGACCGAAAGGCCUCGCGCUCUUGGAGCGGCCGAUGUCGGAUUAGCUAGUUGGUGGGGUAAAGGCUUACCCAGGCGACGAUCCGUAGCUGGUCUGAGAGGACGACCAGCCACACUGGGACUGAGACACGGCCCAGACUCCUACGGGAGGCAGCAGUGGGGAAUUUUGGACAAUGGGGGCAACCCUGAUCCAGCCAUGCCGCGUGCGGGAAGAAGGCCUUCGGGUUGUAAAGCGCUUUUGUUCGGGAAGAAAUGCUCUGGGCUAAUACCCCGGGGGGAUGACGGUACCGGAAGAAUAAGCACCGGCUAACUACGUG